rnacentral:rRNA from 1 species
AGAGUUUGAUCCUGGCUCAGAACGAACGCUGGCGGCAGGCUUAACACAUGCAAGUCGAACGCAUCCUUCGGGGUGAGUGGCAGACGGGUGAGUAACACGUGGGAACGUACCUUUCGGUUCGGGAUAACCCAGGGAAACUUGGGCUAAUACCGGAUACGUCCUUAGGGAGAAAGAUUUAUUGCCGAGAGAUCGGCCCGCGUCUGAUUAGCUAGUUGGUGAGGUAAAGGCUCACCAAGGCGACGAUCAGUAGCUGGUCUGAGAGGAUGAUCAGCCACACUGGGACUGAGACACGGCCCAGACUCCUACGGGAGGCAGCAGUGGGGAAUAUUGGACAAUGGGCGCAAGCCUGAUCCAGCCAUGCCGCGUGAGUGAUGAAGGCCUUAGGGUUGUAAAGCUCUUUCGGCGGGGACGAUAAUGACGGUACCCGCAGAAGAAGCCCCGGCUAACUUCGUGCCAGCAGCCGCGGUAAUACGAAGGGGGCUAGCGUUGUUCGGAAUCACUGGGCGUAAAGGGCGCGUAGGCGGCUUUAUAAGUCGGGGGUGAAAGCCUGUGGCUCAACCACAGAAUUGCCUUCGAUACUGUAUGGCUUGAGACCGGAAGAGGUAAGUGGAACUGCGAGUGUAGAGGUGAAAUUCGUAGAUAUUCGCAAGAACACCAGUGGCGAAGGCGGCUUACUGGUCCGGUUCUGACGCUGAGGCGCGAAAGCGUGGGGAGCAAACAGGAUUAGAUACCCUAGUAGUCC